GGAGGAACCCAGUGUGCCUGACUGUGUCCGUGUGUGCCUGAGUGUGUCCGUGUCUGUCUGUCUGUGUCUGUGCUCCCCAGGCUUCACUCGGCCCACGUCAGGCCCCGGGGCUGCGUCUCCCUGCCUUGUGAGCAGUGUUUGCGCAGCACCAUCUCUCCCUUCGCAACAGGCCAAAGUUUCUGCCUAAGAACAGCUAUCCUGGGGUGGUGGCAUGGCUGGAGUUACUGGGACAGAGUCCUCACAACAGUCACAGAAUCACUGAGAUAUUUGAGAUUUCCUAUAAACCGCAAGCUGCAGCACAGAGAAUGGAAGGUGACGAGCACCUGGUGUGGCUCUCCCUCAUCCCAAAGGCAAUGUCCAUGGGACAAAGCUCAGGAAAAUGCCACCUAGGUACCAUUCCUCAGCUGCUGUGAGAGGCCACUGCCUGGGGUGACCAUCCCUGGAAAGGAAGGACACACUGCACUAACACAGGCUGUGCAGAAAGCACAGAGACCUAAAAUAAAUCCAAUUCACAUUUUAUGGGAGCUGCCACAGGAAACAAAGGCGCAGAACAAUGGUGAAUAGUGGAUGCAGAAACACAUAAGAAAUGAAAAUGAGACACAUCUCGGUUUUUAAAGGUCAUUUUACAUGGAGAAGAAAAAUUCCACAGCAUCCCAGCUAGAUAAAACUGUGACCAGAUCAUUGAACAAGCUGUAGAGAUUGACCUACAAAUUCCAGGGACCAUCCUUCUGAGUCUCACAACAUUAAUCCAGCUCACCGAGAUGUCUUUGCAACUUCUUUGCUCAAAGCUCUAAAAGCAGCUCCCAGAAGCAGGGCUAUCACUACCACCCCCCAGGAAGCCCUUUGCCCAUGGAAAUGUUUAAAACAUUAAAGUCAGCUCCAAAUCCAGGGGAUCUGGGCAAAAAAGGUUCCUGGGGAUUGUGGUUUCUGGCUAACUGCACACAGCAACAGCUCCCAAGGAGCUGCACUUCCAUCACCAGAGAGGAAGAAGCCGUUGAAACCCUGUAACAAUUUAAAAUCUGAAACAAUUCUAAACUUUAGUCAGUGACACCUUGGAAUAAAACUUCUGAGGAAGGAAAAAAAAUUAAAACCAGAAGUGCCCUCAGCAUUAAAAGCCUUAAUCAGAAGCCAGCGAUGGCAGUAUAAAAUGUCAUCUGCUGUGAGUGUUUACAGUCGAGCACAGAGGAACAUGGAGGCAAUUUUGUAGAGUGACUCCUGGAGCAAAGGCCUCUGAGAAUAAAAGUGUCUUUAGAUAUUUGUUAUCCUGUUAUAGCUGGUAUCACCUUGAGUAUACAAUGCCUGCCUGCAUUAUGUAAACACUUCAUUGAUAAAUCCCUCCCCCACCUCCCCUAAGCUGUGUCAGACUGUUCUUAGCUGACAGAUAGAGCUGAAACAGAUGCUGCUAUAAAUACCCUUGUUUAGCUGUUUUGAGUAUAAUUUCUUUUGUAGAACAUGGUGGAUGCUCUACUUAUCAUUGAACUUGCACCUGUGCUGGAGUUUAUUGCUACUUUGUACACAUCAAGAUGCAUUUUUUAAUGAUUCUAUAAAAAAACCAUAGGGCAGCAGAACCCAGUCCUUUCUCCCCUUCUGAAGUAGAGACAAACUUUACAAAGGAUUGCACUCAUUUUAAUUGAACUAUUUUAAAGUUUAGAAGCUACAGAAUCCAGAGGUGAUAAAAGUUUAACUCUCAGGGCCAAACACACAGGUAAUUUACAGAAUAAUGAAAUUCUAUAUAUAUUGAAUUCUGUAUUUCUGUAUACAGAUCUACAACACCCAGCCAGCCAAACUCUUCUGGAGAGAUCCCAGGUACAGCUGGACCUGGCUUCAAAAAUGAAGAAAGGAGUUGUAUUAACACAGCAGCAUGAUUUUGAAGUCUGUAAUGCAGCAGUUGCUAACUGGUAGAUCUGUCUCCACACAGCAGCUCAUUUGUAUUUUCACCCAGAAACAUAAUUUCUACCUUAAAGAUAUUAUUUUGUUCAUAGCUGAAAUAUCAGAGAUGGAAACAUUUUAUGGUAUUUAUCUUAAGCAAGUUCAAUAUUGUUUUAAGCAAAUACCCAUUUUAUAUUCAGUCUUUAAAUAAAGAUGUAAACCACAUUCUGCUAAGCACUGCUACCUGUGAUCCACAUGCUUGAGCUGGGGAGAAACUUGCAGGCUCUCAUCACUGCAGAAAAGAUGCACAGGGAUGCACCUGGCCCACGUUCUCAAGGAUUCUUUCCAGGGUUUCUUUGCUGAUGUUUGUUUUUGUUUGAAGGACUUUGUUCUCACCCACCUGCAGAGGACCUGGCUGGCUGACAGAGCUGCUUCUCACACUGCACACACUCCCGGCUUCGUUAGGAGGACACUGACCCAUGGGAGGAACAGAGAUCAGGUCACCCCUAGGGCUGUUCCCUGGGCCAGGGCACCCUUGACUGAGGUGUAAUUGGCACAAAGGCCCAGCCAAAGGGACCACGCUUUCCACUGGUUACUCCAACCCCUGACAAAUCUGCUUCGUUAUCACCAGUGUUAAUUAGAAGCAAAACCAAGGGUUCCUCUGAAGAGAUGUGAACAGCCUGAACAGGGACAUGGUCCUUCAACUCAGAGCUGCCUAUUUCACUGGCCAAACCCACCUUAGAAGGACAGCAGGAAGAAGAGACUCAUCCUAUUCUCCCAGAACCUUCCAAGGAGGAUUGACAAGCACUGCACCCUCCAGCACGACAGGAUAACAACACCGACUCCAGUUUAGCCCUCCCCAGUCCCAUCUCCCAGCCCUGGAAGGAGCUUCCUUCCCACCACAAUUCUGCAGACACUGAACCAGUCUGAGCCUUCCCAUCUGUUCCAAGGAGAGGGUUUGAAGAUGAUUAUUCCAAAUAAGUGUAAAGGUUUCAGAACAGGAACCAGAGCCAUCUCUCCUACUCAGCCGUUGAAGGCUGCCUUGAUUACUUUGAUGUAACAACACUUGAAAGCUCCUAUUCUUUGAAACUAAUUUAAACACAUUGAAUUGUUGAAAGAUUAAAAACCGCAGUCAGCUAAUUACACUCACUCUCAUCUCUUAUUCAGCAAAUGAAUCACUUUUCAUUACCACUUAGCUGAAGUACAUGAAUUUCUGCCUAAUUAGAAAUGUUGUAGAUGGAGCAUUAGCAAGGCUGGAGCGGGUCAGGAUAUCUUGCCUGCUUCAUUUUUAAUUCCUAACGGUAGAGCCAGAUAGGAAAGGCUUCAGAUAAGAAGUCAUUAAACAAUUUUAAAUUAUUUAUAAAAAUUACUUUGCCCAAAUUAUAAUUAUUUUUUUUCCCAAAUGCUCUCAUAAACGUCAAAUGGAAUGAAAGGAAAAGCAGCCCAACAUUGAUUUUAAUGAACAUUUUAAUGUUAUGUAUAACAGAACAUUAUGAAUACAAUGGAAACAAAGUUUUAUCAAUUUAAUAAUAAAAAAGAAAUCCAACAUAAGAAAAGGGAGGCAAUAAAUUUCAUACCUAUAGUAUAGUGCUUAUUCUUAACAAUAUUCCCAGCUUGUGAAUAUAACAAUGUCUUUGUGUUCCAGAUUCUAAAAUCUUGAUUCAUGUGAACUUAAAUGCAGAAUUACAGAAGGAAAAACAAAACCCCCCAAAACCUUAAUUCACUUUUGCUUUCAGUAAAUCAGUAAAAUCUUUGACUGCUACAGGUCUCCUUUAUUAAUAUAUAUAUUUUUUUUACUCCUCUAUUGGAUUCCACAGCUGCUAAUGCCAUAUUUACACAAAAGAAUCACCAAGUGUUGUAUAAAAGUCAGGAUCCAAUGCCAUUGGAUUAAGUUAGGUUCUAGAUUUCCAUCACUGAAGUGUGAUUCCCCUGCUGCUGAUGCCCUAAACCAGUGGCUCCUUAGGGACAUGGGUGCUACAAAGGAUGCCAAGUGCCACUGGAAAAGAACUCCAAGAAAGUGCAUUUUCUGGAGUUUUCUGAAAGGAAACCUUCCAGCAGUCUUGGGUAAAGCUUCUCCCAGACUUGCACGGGAUAUCAGUUAUAACAUUAGAAGCACAUUAAGACCCCAAAAAUCUGUUGAUCACCAAAUUGCUGAGAGAGGAUCUUUACAAUAAAAAUUUGGGUAAUACAGCAGUGUGGCUGGAACAUUAGCAAAAGUAUAUAUACAUUCCAGGUCCCUUUGAAUUAGCCAUAGUCACAUAUGUAAGCCAUUU